rnacentral:pre_miRNA from 1 species
ACAUCAUUCGGGCCGUCUGUCUACCGAGCCUUUUCAGCCGCUUGGUGGAAGAUCUUCCCUAUUUCGU